rnacentral:rRNA from 1 species
CAGCCGCCACGGUAAUACGAGUGGUGCAAGCGUUAUUCGGAUUGAUUGGGUGUAAAGGGUGUGCAGACGGCUUAUUAAGUCACUUGUUAAAUUCUUCGGCCUAACUGAAGGUCUGCAAGUGAUACUGAUGAGCUAGAGGGUGGAAGAGAGAAGUGGAAUUCUCGGAGUAGCGGUAAAAUGCGUAGAUCUCGAGAGGAACACCAAUGGCGAAGGCAGCUUCUUGGUCCAUUCCUGACGUUCAUACACGAAAGCGUGGGGAGCAAACAGGAUUAGAUACCCCCGUAGUCCCUGUCUCUUAUAC